GCAUCAGCCACCUCCAAGGAGUCUGCUGGGUGGUGACAAUAGCAGGAUGCAGUCCCACACCCAGCUGGGAUUUACACCCUUGGUCUCCUGGAGAAAUCAUCGGUAUGAAAAGAUGCACAUGUUGCCGGCAGCUAUAGCACAUAUUGCAUGGCAUGACACACACAUAAGUGAGAUUAAUAUGAGUUCUGGGCAUCAUUAGCUCAAUUAAAACUGUGAUUUUUUAGUUCAGACCUACAGGCCAUUGCAGAGAAGAGUAAUCAUAAGGCAGAAAUGAGUUCCCUAGUUAAAAAUUAAUUCCCUAGACUAAAAAUAUAAUCAAACGAUGUCUACAGUAUUUUAUGAAGAGCUGAGAGGAUAAUAAAAUUUAAAGCAGUGCAACAUUUGCAUUUUGUUCAUUUCUAUCCAUAUUUUUCCACAGACUGCCUUUCUCUGUGCUUGUUAAUCAUAUGCACUGCUACAGCCCUGGCAUUUUAAGAUCACUCUUCACAUCAAGAUUGAAAGGAAACUAAUUACAAUCACAUUUCAGGGUGGUUGUUUAAAGCUGGUACAGCACUGACUACAGCACAGGAGCCUUGACCUUUAUUUGUAAGCAUGGAAAUAAGGUAAAGAUGAAAGAUUGCUUUUCCUCCAGCUCAUAUGCAGGGAUCAGGAGGCCCUGUGGGGAAGCAGAGAGGUGGGAAGUCCCCAUACAAUUUCUCUCCUCGCCUCCUCUCCUGUGCUGGCAGCAGAGGCCAGUAGUGCUAUGCAGAAGCUGUGCUCCACUGCAGCGAGAGGUGAAGGAAAGCACCACGUAUUUUGCAGCUCCCUUGGGCUGCCGAAGGAACAAGCAGGGAAUUAGCAGACCUCCUCAAACGCCCCUCUUGUUUGAACCCCAGUCCUACUCGUUUUAAUCUAUCAGUCAAUGACAAAUCCUUCCCUGGGCCUGGGCACAGGCACAAGACCAUCAGCUCGGUGCUGCAUGCCGUGCUCAUGCAAUUAUCAAGGUACCAAUGUGCAUGGACUACCUGUGAGCAAGAGAUGUAGAUGGUACUGCUAUCUUUUCUGCUGCUCACAUUAUAGCUUAGUAGCAAUAAUAGGAUCUGUGAGGAUGCAUCGGGGAAGAAUAAGGACCCCUAACCUGAGGAAAUACAGUUUUGGACCUGCCCUGACCCCUCAAGCUGCUUGCUUGCUGCUGGCUUUCUCACCUCUGGUCCUCCACGGUGAUGCUCACUUGGCUUGCUCAUCUAAAUAA
rnacentral:lncRNA from 1 species